rnacentral:rRNA from 1 species
GUGGGCCCUCGAAAUCCGUCGGCGGGGGAUUCAGUCGGGAGGUGCGGGCUCGURCGCCGGUCUUUGAUUCGGACCCUAUCGAUUGGGCCGGGUCGGCGUCGAAAGUCCCCGCUACCCGACGCACUUCCUCCCGCCCCAAGGACGCCGCAGCCGGUUGGGUAGCUGCGCGAGUCGGCCAUAAGGGCGGGCGCCGGAAGGUGGCCGGUGGCGGCACUCUGCUGUCCGUCGCCGGUCGUUAUCCAGCCCGUCCGUGGCGCGACACCCGACCGAGGUCGAUGGUYCUAUUAUAAGGACCUUGCCGUCCCCUCCCCCGUGGUCGAGCGGGCCUGCGGAAAGGCGAUUCCCCCUGCGGGCGACCCACUCUCCGAGUGGCCGUCCCUCGGGUGACGCCGUUGGUCCGUCAGGUCCCGCGUGGGGUUCGUUCGGAAGGCUUGCGGCGAGUAGGUCGGUCACCCACCCGACCCGUCUUGAAACACGGACCAAGGAGUCUAACAUGUGCGCGAGUCACGGGGUCUUGUUCAGGCCCAGAGGCGCAAUGAAAGUGAAGGCCCCCUUCUCGGGGGUCGUGUUGGGACUCUCCGCUAUCAAAAGGCGGGGAAGCACCAACGACCCGCCCUGUCCGAUUCAUUCGGUUGGGCGGAGUGUGAGCGCACACGUUGGGACCCGAAAGAUGGUGAACUAUGCCUGGGCAGGACGAAGCCAGAGGAAACUCUGGUGGAGGUCCGUAGCGGUUCUGACGUGCAAAUCGAUCGUCAGACCUGGGUAUAGG